UGCUCAGUAGGCAGUGUAGAU
rnacentral:miRNA from 1 species